UUAACUAUUAUAUAGUACUCAGACAUCACUAAACAAACGAGUUUGGGUCCUCUGGCAGGCGCAGUCAGCCGGAGCCGACGCCUAAAAGGCGGCCUGCCAAAGCAACAAAGGUAUGUAUACACGGUUUGGGAAUAGAACCCAUUUCAAAAAACGGGGCGAUUCUUUAAUGAUCCUUCCGCAGGUUCACCUACGGAAA
rnacentral:misc_RNA from 1 species